GUCCAGACUCCUACGGGAGGCAGCAGUGAGGAAUAUUGGUCAAUGGGCGCGAGCCUGAACCAGCCAGGUCGCGUGAGGGAGGACGGCCCUACGGGUUGUAAACCUCUUUUGCCGGGGAGCAACGGGCGCCACGUGUGGCGCCACUGAGAGUACCCGGAGAAAAAGCAUCGGCUAGCUCCGUGCCAGCAGCCGCGGUAAUACGUAGGUGGCAAGCGUUAUCCGGAUUUACUGGGUGUAAAGGGCGUGUAGGCGGGAUUGCAAGUCAGAUGUGAAAUUCCAGGGCUCAACCCUGGAACUGCAUUUGAAACUGUAGUUCUUGAGUGAUGGAGAGGCAGGCGGAAUUCCGUGUGUAGCGGUGAAAUGCGUAGAUAUACGGAGGAACACCAGUGGCGAAGGCGGCCUGCUGGACAUUAACUGACGCUGAGGCGCGAAAGCGUGGGGAGCAAACAGGAUUAGAUACCCUCGUAC
rnacentral:rRNA from 1 species